ACAGCAGCAGCCACGGUAAUACGAAGGGUGCAAGCGUUAAUCGGAAUUACUGGGCGUAAAGCGUGCGUAGGCGGUUUGUUAAGUCUGUUGUGAAAUCCCCGGGCUCAACCUGGGAAUGGCAAUGGAUACUGGCAAGCUAGAGUGUGUCAGAGGAUGGUGGAAUUCCCGGUGUAGCGGUGAAAUGCGUAGAGAUCGGAAGGAACAUCUGUGGCGAAGGCGACUAUCUGGGCCAACACUGACACUGAGGCACGAAAGCGUGGGGAGCAAACAGGAUUAGAUACCCCAGUAGUCCCUGUCUCUUAUAA
rnacentral:rRNA from 1 species